rnacentral:rRNA from 1 species
UACGGGGGGGGCAAGCGUUGUUCGGAAUUACUGGGCGUAAAGGGCGCGUAGGCGGCCUGUUAAGUCGGAUGUGAAAUCCCUCGGCUCAACCGAGGAACUGCCUCCGAUACUGGCGGGCUGGAAUCCGGGAGAGGGAUGUGGAAUUCCAGGUGUAGCGGUGAAAUGCGUAGAUAUCUGGAGGAACACCGGUGGCGAAGGCGGCAUCCUGGACCGGUAUUGACGCUGAGGCACGAAAGCGUGGGGAGCAAACAGG